rnacentral:misc_RNA from 1 species
UGGCAGGCUCCCCGCAUGUAUGUGCGGCCAACUGUCAUGGGGCUGUUUUCUCAUUGUCCCUUCGUUUAUCCAUUUUGGUUCAACGGAGUGCCUGAAUUUGGUUGCCUGUGCGGUCAUACCUUCGUUGGUAUCACAUAUGUGUCCCGCUUUUUGGUUUUUCGCUUGCUCUUUAGAUGUAUGCAUCCACGAGCGGCCGAGGUGUUGGCAAAUUCCAUGCGCUGGAUGCACUGUGUGUGUCGGAACUGCUUAUUGGUUGUUUGCCGGGUCUCAGGAUAUCAGUUCCUACGUUGAGCGGUUGCGGGCUUCAAGCUGCAGGCUCAUGGUGUUUGCCCAUACAAUAAAUUUGUUGCUCAUGUUUCCUGGACAUGUUGUGCCCUUAUGGGAUUCAUGUCAGGGAUGUGACUCGGACAUGUUGUGUGUAUGUGCAUAUCCUUAUGACCCGAAUGAUAUGCGAUCCGGUCUCGUCAG